CAGGGAAUAGUUUAAUUAAAAUAUUAAUUUUGGAGAUUAAAGAUAAAAGAUAAUUUUUUCCCUGA
rnacentral:tRNA from 1 species